GCGAAUAGCUCAGUAACACGUGGCCAAACUACCUUCGGACCACAAUCCUCGGGAAACUGAGGCUAAUAGUGGAUAUCACAGUCCACCUGGAAUGAGGACUGUGCCAAACGCUCCGGCGCCGAAGGAUGUGGCUGCGGCCGAUUAGGUAGACGGUGGGGUAACGGCCCACCGUGCCAAUAAUCGGUACGGGUCAUGAGAGUGAGAACCCGGAGACGGAAUCUGAGACAAGAUUCCGGGCCCUACGGGGCGCAGCAGGCGCGAAACCUUUACACUGCACGCCAGUGCGAUAAGGGAAUCCCAAGUGCGUAGGCAUAGAGCCUACGCUUUUGUCCACCGUAGGGAGGUGGACGAAUAAGGGCUGGGCAAGACCGGUGCCAGCCGCCGCGGUAAUACCGGCAGCCCAAGUGAUGGCCGAUUUUAUUGGGCCUAAAGCGUCCGUAGCUGGCCGCACAAGUCCAUCGGAAAAUCCACCCGCUCAACGGGUGGGCGUCCGGUGGAAACUGUGUGGCUUGGGACCGGAAGGCGCGACGGGUACGUCCGGGGUAGGAGUGAAAUCCCGUAAUCCUGGACGGACCGCCGAUGGCGAAAGCACGUCGCGAGAACGGAUCCGACAGUGAGGGACGAAAGCUAGGGUCUCGAACCGGAUUAGAUACCCGGGUAGUCCUAGCCGUAAACAAUGCCUGCUAGGUGUGGCUCCCACUACGAGUGGGUGCUGUGCCGUAGGGAAGCCGCUAAGCAGGCCGCCUGGGAAGUACGUCCGCAAGGAUGAAACUUAA
rnacentral:rRNA from 1 species